rnacentral:lncRNA from 1 species
GAUGGGCGUGUCUCCAUGGCAUGGGUUCUGCCACUGCCUCUUCUCUCACCUCACAACGCAGGGCUGCCACGUGUUCCCAACAGCAAGAGGAGUUUGGGGAUCCAUAAAGACGUUUCCCAGCAUGAAGACACAGAGCUGAGCUUGAGAUGAGAACUUUGGAGCUGGAAGUGGCCUCAGGAAAGGCCCUAGAAAACAAGAUGCGGAUGCCCCUUGUCUGAAGACAGGAUCAGGAUGCUCCCAGGCAGGAUAUUCCUGGGAAGAAGUGUAGGGUCCCCGUUUUAUGUUUCAGAACCACAGCAUUCCCAAAGAUCAGAUGGGAAGAACCUGGUGUAAACUCAAAGACAGAUUCUGGAAGACCUCCUUCUUCUCUCCUGUUAUGUGCGUGAGAUAAAGUCAG